rnacentral:rRNA from 1 species
CGGACGGGUGAGUAACGCGUGGGUAACCUGCCUCAUACAGGGGGAUAACAGUUAGAAAUGACUGCUAAUACCGCAUAAGACCACAGCACCGCAUGGUGCAGGGGUAAAAACUCCGGUGGUAUGAGAUGGACCCGCGUCUGAUUAGGUAGUUGGUGAGGUAACGGCCCACCAAGGCGACGAUCAGUAGCCGACCUGAGAGGGUGACCGGCCACAUUGGGACUGAGACACGGCCCAG